rnacentral:sRNA from 1 species
GGGAAACAGGCUCGGGAAGGCCGCACAGCCACUGGCCAGGGUCACCAUGUCCCUGCCAGACCCAGAGUAGGUUCCGGUUCUUGCCAGUGUCCCUGGCGCUGGCCCAGCCGGGAGCACUGCUCUGUGAGGGGUCCAGAAGCUGCCAGGGAGGGCGGGAGGGGGCUCCUGACCCUGCCCCCCGCCGCCCCUGGCCACCACCGCCUCUGCAGUUCCAGGGGGAAUGGUUUGUCCUGGGCCUGGCGGGCAACAGCUUCAGGCCGGAGCACAGGGCGCUGCUGAACCCUUUCACCGCAACUUUCGAGCUAAGUGACGCUGGUGGCUUUGAGGUGUGGAAUGCCAUGACUCG